AACCAUUCUCACCUGCGGCUAGACCUGCGGAAGGAUCAUUACAGAGUUGCAAGACUCCCUAAACCAUUGUGAACCUACCUUCUACCGUUGCUUCGGCGGGCGGGCCCAGCGCCCCCCCCGGCCCCCCGCGGGCGCCCGCCGGAGGAUACCCAAACUCUUGACAUUAGUGGCCUCUCUGAGUAUUCUUUACUGAAUAAGUCAAAACUUUCAACAACGGAUCU
rnacentral:misc_RNA from 1 species